GCCUUGGUGGCGGAAUUGGUAGACGCGCUGGACUCAAAAUCCAGUAUCCCUUAAAGAUGUAUGGGUUCGAGUCCCAUCCGAGGCA
rnacentral:tRNA from 1 species